GUCCACGCCGUAAACGAUGAAUGCUAGCCGUUGGGGAGCUUGCUCUUCAGUGGCGCAGCUAACGCUUUAAGCAUUCCGCCUGGGGAGUACUGUCGCAAUAUUAAAACUCAAAGGAAUUGACGGGGGCCCCGCACAAGCGGUGGAGCAUGUGGUUUAAUUCGAAGCAACGCGCAGAACCUUACCAGCUCUUGACAUGUCCCGUAUGGGUUCCGGAGACGGGAUCCUUCAGUUCGGCUGGCUGGAACACAGGUGCUGCAUGGCUGUCGU
rnacentral:rRNA from 1 species